UACAGAGGUCUCGAGCGUUAGGCGGAAUCACUGGGCUUAAAGCGUGUGUAGGUGGAUCGUUAAGUACCUUGUGAAAUCCCACGGCUUAACCGUGGAACUGCUUGGUAUACUGGCGGUCUUGAGCCAGCUAGGGGCUACCGGAACAAAUGGUGGAGCGGUGAAAUGCGUAGAUAUCAUUUGGAACGCCAAUGGUGAAAACAGGUAGCUGGGGCUGUGCUGACAGCUGAGACACGGAAAGCCAGGGGAGCAAACGGG
rnacentral:rRNA from 1 species